CCUACGGGCGGCUGCAGUGGGGAAUAUUGGACAAUGGGCGAAAGCCUGAUCCAGCCAUGCCGCGUGUGUGAAGAAGACCUUCGGGUUGUAAAGCACUUUCAGUGGGGUAGAAAGCCUUGGGGCUAAUACCCUCGAGGAAGGACAUCACCCACAGAAGAAGCACCGGCUAACUCCGUGCCAGCAGCCGCGGUAAUACGGAGGGUGCGAGCGUUAAUCGGAAUUACUGGGCGUAAAGCGCGCGUAGGCGGUCUGAUAAGCCGGUUGUGAAAGCCCCGGGCUCAACCUGGGAACGGCAUCCGGAACUGUCAGGCUAGAGUGCAGGAGAGGAAGGUAGAAUUCCCGGUGUAGCGGUGAAAUGCGUAGAGAUCGGGAGGAAUACCAGUGGCGAAGGCGGCCUUCUGGACUGACACUGACGCUGAGGUGCGAAAGCGUGGGUAGCAAACAGGAUUAGAUACCCCAGUAGUC
rnacentral:rRNA from 1 species